CUUGGAGAUGGACCCACGGUCUU
rnacentral:misc_RNA from 1 species